GGGGGGGGCAAGCGUUGUUCGGAAUUACUGGGCGUAAAGGGCUCGUAGGUGGCCACCUAAGUCCGACGUGAAAUCCCUCGGCUUAACCGGGGAACUGCGUCGGAUACUGGGUGGCUUGAAUCCGGGAGAGGGACGUGGAAUUCCAGGUGUAGCGGUGAAAUGCGUAGAUAUCUGGAGGAACACCGGUGGCGAAGGCGGCGUCCUGGACCGGAAUUGACACUGAGGAGCGAAAGCCAGGGGAGCAAACGGGAUUAGAUACCCCGGUAGUCCUGGCCCUAAACGAUGAGUGCUUGGUGUGGCGGGUAUCGAUCCCCGCCGUGCCGGAGCUAACGCGUUAAGCACUCCGCCUGGGGAGUACGGUCGCAAGGCUG
rnacentral:rRNA from 1 species